GACGAACGCUGGCGGCGUGCUUAACACAUGCAAGUCGAACGGUAAGGCUCCAGCUUGCUGGGGUACACGAGUGGCGAACGGGUGAGUAACACGUGGGUGACCUGCCCUGCACUUCGGGAUAAGCCUGGGAAACUAGGUCUAAUACCGGAUAGGACCGCACCGUGAGGGUGUGGUGGAAAGUUUUUUCGGUGUGGGAUGGGCCCGCGGCCUAUCAGCUUGUUGGUGGGGUAAUGGCCUACCAAGGCGGCGACGGGUAGCCGGCCUGAGAGGGUGGACGGCCACAUUGGGACUGAGACACGGCCCAGACUCCUACGGGAGGCAGCAGUGGGGAAUAUUGCACAAUGGGCGGAAGCCUGAUGCAGCGACGCCGCGUGGGGGAUGACGGCCUUCGGGUUGUAAACUCCUUUCACCAUCGACGAAGGGUUUCUGACGGUAGAUGGAGAAGAAGCACCGGCUAACUACGUG
rnacentral:rRNA from 1 species